rnacentral:rRNA from 1 species
GAUGAACGCUGGCGGCGUGCCUAAUACAUGCAAGUCGAGCGAACGGACGAGAAGCUUGCUUCUCUGAUGUUAGCGGCGGACGGGUGAGUAACACGUGGAUAACCUACCUAUAAGACUGGGAUAACUUCGGGAAACCGGAGCUAAUACCGGAUAAUAUUUUGAACCGCAUGGUUCAAAAGUGAAAGACGGUCUUGCUGUCACUUAUAGAUGGAUCCGCGCUGCAUUAGCUAGUUGGUAAGGUAACGGCUUACCAAGGCAACGAUGCAUAGCCGACCUGAGAGGGGAUACGGCCCAACUGGAACAGAGACACGGUCCAGACUCCUACGGGAGGCAGGAGUAGGGAAUCUUCCGCAGGGGGAGAAGGCCUGACGGAACAACCCCGGGUGAGUGAUGGAGGUCUUCGGAUCGUAAAACUCUGUUAUUAGGAAAGAACAUAUUUGUAAGUAACUGGGCACCUCUUGGCGGUCCCUAAUCAGAAACCCACGGCUAACUACGU